GGUGUCUGUAGCAUGUCCCUGCAGGCUUUUCAAUGUAAACAUUGCUUUUUCAGAGAAUUUGUGGUUGCACAAGUUGAGUUAUGAUGUCACAUACAGAAGUAGGAAUCUUUCUUCUGCCCUCACUAGAAAAUUACACUUUUUGCUAAUUGUAUCUGUCAGGUCCCCUGCCACCGUGCUGCUCGCGGUGACCUUGCAUACCGCGUCACCGAGAGCGACACCAUAUGGUCCCUGUCCGCGGCGUAUGGCUGUCCCUGCCACUUUGCUCCAGACUGACAGUGUGUUUGACGCUGCAUACUCCAGAGCAGCAUCCUUAUAUGUGUGCCAGACCUGGUUAUGUGAAACACUUCACACAUGUUGUGGUUAACAC